rnacentral:tmRNA from 1 species
GGGGGCGACCUGGUUUCGACGGGAACAGGUGAGGCUCUGAUUGCAUGUCGAGGAACCGAUCAUCCUCGUUAAACGGUCGGAAAAAAAUCUAACUGCAGACGAUUAUUCGUACGCAUUAGCCGCCUAAGAGCGGCUACGUUUCUCCCGGUUGCGCCUGCCCGGCAGGGAAGAAACGUCGAUCAGGCAGGAUAGCGGCGCGGGGGGUCUCCUCCCGCUACGUGAACCUUUAGGAGACUGGCGUUCGUAUGGGCGUGCCGGCGGGCAUGUGCGGACGCGAGAACCGAGCGCCGGCUAAACAUGUAGAUAUCGGAGUAGCACGGUUUUCGGACGCGGGUUCGAUUCCCGCCGCCUCCACCA